rfam:Hordeum vulgare subsp. vulgare, WGS project CAJW01000000 data, contig: morex_contig_52066
UUACUACUCCCUUCGUUCGAAAUUACUUGUCGCACAAAGAUAUAAAAAUGGAUGUAUCUAGAACUAACAUACAUCUAGAUACAUCCAUUCAUAUGACAAGUAUUUCCGGACGGAGUGAGUAGUAA